rnacentral:rRNA from 1 species
AGAGUUUGAUCAUGGCUCAGGAUGAACGCUGGCGGUAUGCCUAACACAUGCAAGUCGAACGGGUAUCUUCGGAUAUUAGUGGCGGACGGGUGAGUAACGCGUGAGAAUCUGCCUUCAGGAUGGGGACAACAGUUGGAAACGACUGCUAAUACCCGAUAUGACGAAAGUUGAAAGAUUUAUCGCCUGGAGAUGAGCUCGCGUCAGAUUAGCUAGAUGGUGUGGUAAAGGCGCACCAUGGCGACGAUCUGUAGCUGGUCUGAGAGGAUGAGCAGCCACACUGGGACUGAGACACGGCCCAGACUCCUACGGGAGGCAGCAGUGGGGAAUUUUCCGCAAUGGGCGCAAGCCUGACGGAGCAAUACCGCGUGAGGGAGGAAGGCUCUUGGGUCGUAAACCUCUUUUCUCAGGGAAGAACAAAAUGACGGUACCUGAGAAUCAGCUCGAUCCCC